rnacentral:rRNA from 1 species
GAUGAACGCUGGCGGCGUGCUUAACACAUGCAAGUCGAACGAUGAAGCCCAGCUUGCUGGGUGGUUUAGUGGCGAACGGGUGAGUAACACGUGAGUAACCUGCCCUUAACUCUGGGAUAAGCCUGGUAAACUGGGUCUAAUACCGGAUAGGAGCGUCCACCGCAUGGUGGGUGUUGGAAAGAUUUAUCGGUUUUGGAUGGACUCGCGGCCUAUCAGCUUGUUGGUGAGGUAAUGGCUCACCAAGGCGACGACGGGUAGCCGGCCUGAGAGGGUGACCGGCCACACGGGGACUGAGACACGGCCCAGACUCCAACGGGAGGCAGCAGGGGGGAAUAUUGAACAAUGGGCGCAAGCCUGAUGCAGCGACGCCGCGUGAGGGAUGACGGCCUUCGGGUUGUAAACCUCUUUCAGUAGGGAAGAAGCGAAAGUGACGGUACCUGCAGAAGAAGCACCGGCUAACUACGUG